rnacentral:lncRNA from 1 species
CUCAACAGCACUUCCUGGCGUAGCAGCUAGUUAAUUCCGCCUUCUCAAACAGAGAGGAAUACUAUUUAUGUUAGCUAGCUGGCUAAGGCUAUCCAACACUGGACAUUUUUCAAGUCAAGAGACGUGGAUGUUGAACGGGAUGCAAGGACGUCUCCAUCAAGGAGAGCCACUGCUCAACUGGAUGCAGAAGUGUAACCAGCUGGACGGAUUCCAUAGUACUGGAUGGAUGCCACACGCCACUAACUCAAGCUGAACUGGAAGAGGUGGCUGCAGCUAUGGUCCAUGUUUUGUCUAUGUAACAGAUGUCCCACGAAGCCAAGAAGACGGGUGUUGGCACCGGUGUAACAUAUCUGAUCUUUACUCUCUCUUGCGUUGUGUUUUUAAAGAAAGGAAUGCCCAGCCAGCGGUCCCAGUUGAUUGGUAUUUCUGAUGAUAAAAACAAAGAUGCACAUUAGAUGUGCAGGACAACACCAUGUUGAUGGCUGUAGAUUUGUGAUUUGUCUGUUACCAUGGAAAUAACGGUGAAGAUUGCCUAGCUGUUAAGAGUGUUGGGCCAGUAAUCGAAAGGUCGCUUGUUCGAAUCCCCAAACCAGAGAGGUGCAAAACUCUGCUGUUCUGCCCUUGAGCAAGGCAGUUAACAACUGCUCCCCGGGCGCCGAUGAUGCCGAUUAAGGCAACCCCCAAAAUGUUUCUGAUUCAGAAGGGUUGGCUUAAAAGCCACAUUUUGCUUAAAUGCAUUCAUUUCUGCAACUGACUAGGUACCCCCUUUCCCUGAGUUAGCAGGGAGCUAAUGUAACCAUUACAAUUGUAACCAUUACAUGCUAGCUAACUUGCUCUUACAGCAAUAACAUGCAAAAGCACAUCGCAGGAAGCCCCCAAUAUCUAACAUAAUGAACUCGUACACAUUGUAAAUACGUAAAUAAAAUGCACUAUUUCAGAACGUCAAUAACAGCCUGGGAAGAAUUGACGUUCGCAAGCGCAGCCAAUAUCAUAACACCUUGUUGACAUCUGACUUGAACUAACCAAUAGAAAUACAUAAACAUUGAAUUCAUAUUUAUGCAGUGGCAAGUGGAAACAUAAUCAACCCUGUUACAUCUACAACCAUUUUCACACUGGCAGGAAAAGACACACACUGCUCUGAAUAAUCCUGCCCGACCCAAAUGCUUUAAAUGGAACAAAUCCAUAAUAAGCUGUGUGUUUGACAGGUGUUUAUGAAACAGAAAUCAUUAGAACACUAUCCCUCACAACAUAUACUAAAACAGUGAAUAAAGUGAUUGUUUGAUUGAACCUGUUGUAUUGUAAACUAAUGAUUAGUUACAUGUUGACUACAUAUGUUAUGUUACCCUUUCCUGAUAUGAUUGAAUAAAUCCUGACUGCUGUGUCUCGUCCUGACCAUAGUAAGAUGUUAUUUUCUAUGGUAGAGUACGUCAGGGCGUGACAGGGGGUGUUUUGUGUUUUUCUAUGUUUUCUAUUUCUAUGUUCUUAGGUUCUAGUUUUUGUAUUUCUUUGUUGGUUUGUUUGGGGUGAUUAUUUUUUAGUAGUGUUUGUUUCUCCUCUGCGUCACGGUUUGUUGUUUUGUAUAUUCAGUUAUUUGAUGUAUUGCAUAGUUUCACCGAGUAAAUAAAAAUGUGGAACUACGCACACGCUGCACCUUGGUCCUCUCCUUUUGACAGCCGUGACAUGCUGUCAUAGGUUAGUCUUGUCUGGCACAAACACUUGCUGAAUGCUGAAUGCAUUGCUAACACCGCCCUGAAAACAUUGCCGUUCCCAUGCCGUUUAAAAAAAAAAAUUUACAUAUAUGUCUUGUGUGUGCUAUGUUGUGGUAGUCUUUCCUGUGUUGACAGUGGCAAUGUUCAAAAUCUGAUUUUAGUCUAGGUGCCAGUUACCAUAUAAGUUGUGUACUCUGCAGGGUUUUCUCUCUAUAUACUAUUACUUGUUGCUGAAAAGGAAAUCAUAUGAUGUAAUAUAUUUAC